AUGGAACUAGGUUAUGUCUUCAUGGAAGACCUCGCUAGAGCUGUGGCACAAUUCUACCCCUCUUCAUCUGGAGGAAUGUCUGGGGGGUUCAAUCAACCUCCUUCCCCAGAGGGGGCUCUGCCUGCAUUUCACGAAACCCAAGAUCAGCCUGGUCCUUCAGCUUCAGAAGGGGAGGGUCGGGCUGUCCGGGAUUUUAGCAGUGAAUUGCGUAAUAUUGAGUCAUUACGCGAAGAUAAGUCCCUAGACGUGAGCUACCGAAAUGCCUUAAUAAAGCAGGAAUCGAUUGUAAUUGAAAUGAAAAAGUUCCUUUUACCGGGAAAUCCGAUAACAGAUGAGGACAU